UACAGAGGGUGCAAGCGUUAAUCGGAAUGACUGGGCGUAAAGGGCACGUAGGCGGUUAGAUGAGUCAUAGGUGAAAUCCCCGGGCUUAACCUGGGAACUGCCUGUGAAACUAUUUAGCUAGAAUAUAGGAGAGGGAAGUGGAAUUUCCGGUGUAGCGGUGAAAUGCGUAGAUAUCGGAAAGAACACCAGUGGCGAAGGCGACUUCCUGGUCUAAUAUUGACGCUGAGGUGCGAAAGCGUGGGGAGCAAACGGG
rnacentral:rRNA from 1 species